GCCGCCGCCGCCGGAUCCGCCGCUUCCUGCAGCCUCCCCUCCCCCGGCCCAGGGCGCGACAGCCGAGCCGCUGGGGUUUUCUCCCUGGUAUUGAGCCCUACCUGAUAGAUAUCAACUGUUCUACUUAAUCGUCCUGUAUCCCGGCUGUCCCCACAACCGCAGUGUCAGCCCCAGGAGGGCAGGGGCUCUGGACUCUUCUCCCCGCUGCCACAUCCUGGGGCCUGGUGCCCGGAGACAGCAGGCACCCCGGCGAUCUGCGUCAGCGGCCCUGGAAUGCCACCGAGUGGCCCGAAGAGGGGCCUCCCGCCCUGGGGGAAUCUCAGAAACCAAGCGUUGAUGGAAAAAGGCAAGUCCCAGAAGGCUUUGGACAAUGUAAGAAAAUGGGCCCGAAGUGUGACGUCAGCCUCAGCAAGGCCCCGCUCCCGCCGAGCCCUCGAGCCCUCGGUAGAGCCCUGCCCAGCCUGGCGCUCCUCGGCGCUCUCUGGCAGCUUGCGUUAUUCCCAUUUCUGCUCUCUGGUCACGUGGCUGUCCACAUCUUCAUCUUCUUAUAAGGACACCAGUCAUAUUGGAUCAGGGGCCCACCCUACUGCAAGAUGACCUCAUCCUGACUAAUUAUAUCUGCAACGACCCUAUUUCCAAAUAAGGUCACAUUCUGAGAGCUGGGGUUUAGGGCUUCAGCGUCUUUUGAGGGGACAAGAUUCAACCCAUGAUACGGGCGUUUGUCAAGUUGUUCUCCAAAAAUUUUGGGAUGUCUUCAAUAGCGCAUUAAACAAAAAGU